GGCAGUUCUUGGUUGACACACCCCGGAAUCAGACUCCCUCCUCUCUGAUUCUGAGUGUGUCACCCGAGAACUGCA
rfam:Myotis davidii contig229428, whole genome shotgun sequence.